ACACAUUUUGACAUUUUGCAUCACUAACCCUAACCCUAAUUUUAACCUUUUUUGUGAAUUCCCAAUGCAAAUAUAUUCAUUUGAUGGGGUGGCUACUACCGACAUUGACCGCGUGGACCUACAUUCCUCUCUGCUUGCCUUGUUCCUUCUUCUGCGUUGGUACUCAUUUAUGCUCGUGGGAGUUGUGCUCGCGUUCUUCUCUGCUCGGAGUCUUUUGCUCCCAUGCUUAGUCUCUCUGCCUCUGAAGUCUGAAGCCUUAUCUUCCUGGUGCUCCUAUGCUUGUUCGUUUACCCUCACGAUUGCCGAAAAACGUCGCAAGUCAGUUUAGGUGACAGAAGAAAAGAUGGGGGAUAGAAUCGUUGCACUCCAGCAACUAAUGUUGCCAUUUGGAGAGGAAACGAAUUCUUUUAGUGAUUCUCUUACGAAGUUCAUUCGAACCAUUGUUGCUGAGGAGAUACGUGCUUUAUCCUCCACAAUAAGCCACCAGGAAAAAAGAUCGAUGCAAUCUUGGCCAUUGUUUCAUCUGGACCCAGAUCUGUUGCUGUUCAUUAUGAUGAUGCUAAUGCUUAUGAGAAUAUUACCGUGAGUCGGCCACUUCCAUCAGUGAUAGCUCAGACAACUGCAACAAAGGCUCCAUUGCGUCAAAAAUGAUCAAGGUGUCCUUUGGCACAAAAGUACGAACCAGAUUUCGAACCAUCCCGUACGUUGAGUGAUCAUGAAAUCAGCAAAAACGCUGGCUUGAAACGGCAUAAGAGUACUACUCAACGCAAAGAAGAAAAUUCUCACACAUGGAGACUUUAAAUUACAGCGAGGAUGUCCAUGGCUAUACGAAUCCUAUGAUUUAGCGAACAUGUUUGGUGAUGAGAUUCCUACGUGUUUGGAGGUGGCAUUUAAGCCAACAUCGGAAAUGAUUUUCAUGGGAAAUGAGUUGGCUAUUGUUGCCUAUAUCUUUGGAACUGGUUAUGACCCAAAGAGAUUCUUGUGCCUAAUGAACAUUGUUGUGGAGCCGAGAAGCAUUGAUGACCCUUUGUUCGAAAAAUCGGAUUAGAGAUAACGUUUUGAAUCCGGUGGCAUCAAAGCUUAUAAAACGUGCAUCAAUUAUAGUGGAAGGCAACAAAUGGUUCCUCCCAACCACUUUUGCUCAAAUAGCACUCUAACAACGAGAUAUUUCUGUUGCGAUAAUGGAAUACAUCAAAACAAAUUUUAUGGGCAAGGUUGAAGACCUCUAUAAGGUAAUAGACUACUGUGAUGAGUUAUUUCAACUAUGGUAAAAAAAUAAGGUUUAAUUACUCUGUUGGUCCCUAUAGUUUCGCGAAAUUUUUAAUUAGGUCUCUACACUUUUUUUCCUUUUAAUUGGAUCCCUAUACUUUUUUUUAAUUUAGUCCUUACCAUCAUAAAACCGUUUGAAAUAAAAGAAUAUUCCAUUAAAAAUCGAAUAUUCUCAUAAUUUAGUAAAAAAAUUUAAUUAAAAACACCUCUAUUUUUAUAAAAUACCAAAAAUAUCCUUUAUAUUUUUGUCCCCCAAAAUCAGAGAACUCUAACUAUCCCUAGGUUAUUCUCCUAAGUUCCCAAUUGGAUUUCUCCUCCGUCGCACUCGGUUGCCGUCUUCCAUGGCGUCGUCAUCGUCCGUCGCUGGGUGGUCGUCGUCCCUCUGCGUCGCCCACAGGUGCUCUGUUCUGCUCCGCUUGUCCGCCUUGCCUAUUGCAUCCCCUUGUCCCGCCUUGUCUCACCGCCUCGCGGUGCCUUACCUCAAAUCGCCGCUUCUCGACUCCGCGUUUUGCUGUCUGGACUGGUUCUGGAACAACAGAGGCAUACAGGUUCUACUUGUAAAAGUUUGGGAUGCAAUCCUCAAGGCAUUGCUGCUGACAGGCUUCGAUGCUUGGUUCCGCAAUACCGAAGAUCGGUGGUAAAAGCAAAGGCCUUAGAUACAACUGAAUGUGCUGCUAUGGUUAAUACCAAUUCCCGCAGAGACUUUCUUGGAUUAGUUUUGGGAAUCUCAAGCCUCUUUGUUGGUUCAUUGGAAGCCAAAGAAGCUGGUUUGCCCCCGGAAGAUAAGCCGAAACUAUGUGAUGAAUCUUGUGAGAAGGAGCUUGAAAAUGUAUGGUGCCUAUGGUAACUACUGAAUCAGGUUUGCAAUAUAAGGAUAUUAAAGUUGGACAAGGUCCUAGUCCCCCAGUUGAAUUUCAGCUCGAGAAGGAGAGAGCGAAGGAUGAACUUCUGACAAGAAAGUGCCAGAGAGAGGAAAGAUGAGUGAGAUACCGUGCGCAAUGUGGUAUGAAUUAAGAUUGGGCUGCAAUGUGGCAUGAGUAGUCACCCAAUUUUGCAUUCAUUAGGCAUAGCAUGGAUUUUCAUAGUGAUAAUCUUUUGUCCAUUUGCUAAAGGGCGCAUACAAAAUUGUAGUAUUUUAUUUUACAUCGAUUAUUGUUUAUUUGUAUACAAUAUCAAUUGGUGGAUGCAUUCCUCCAAUUCCAAACUAGAUAUAAGUAUGCUCUUAAGUAUUAAUGUAAAGUUUAUUUUGUAAACUGGAUGCAUUAUCAUAAUCAAUACUUGAAGGAUGAAAA